GUCGGUGUGGUAUAGUGGUUAGAGUUUCCGACUAAGACUUGAGAGAUCGGGGUUCAAAUGCCCCUACCCACA